GAUGAACGCUGGCGGCGUGCCUAAUACAUGCAAGUCGAGCGAACGGACGAGAAGCUUGCUUUUCUGAUGUUAGCGGCGGACGGGUGAGUAACACGUGGAUAACCUACCUAUAAGACUGGGAUAACUUCGGGAAACCGGAGCUAAUACCGGAUAAUAUUUUGAACCGCAUGGUUCAAAAGUGAAAGACGGUCUUGCUGUCACUUAUAGAUGGAUCCGCGCUGCAUUAGCUAGUUGGUAAGGUAACGGCUUACCAAGGCAACGAUGCAUAGCCGACCUGAGAGGGUGAUCGGCCACAAUGGAACUGAGACACGGUCCAGACUCCUACGGGAGGCAGCAGUAGGGAAUCUUCCGCAAUGGGCGAAAGCCUGACGGAGCAACGCCGCGUGAGUGAUGAAGGUCUUCGGAUCGUAAAACUCUGUUAUUAGGGAAGAACAUAUGUGUAAGUAACUGUGCACAUCUUGACGGUACCUAAGCAGAAAGCCACGGCUAACUACGU
rnacentral:rRNA from 1 species